rnacentral:tRNA from 1 species
GUAUUGCUGGGGGAUCGAGCCGCCGUUGCACGGCGGAGGUCAGGGGUUCGAAUCCCCUCGGCUCCA